GGAACCGCAGCGAGCUGAGACUGACGCCACGGUGCAUGAUGGGACAUGCUACAAAGAUCCUCAACAAGAAGAAGAUGACCACACUGUUGGUUUCCGGAGGUGGAAUGUAACUAAGAACAUUUACUCAAGUCAUUCAAGAUGAAGCCUCUCUUAUCGGAUUAUUACAUUUUUACAGUUAUUUCAUAGAUUCUUUCUUUAUUAUUAUUUGUUUACUUUAAUGUACUAAAAUAAAUACUCAAGAAAAA